CCUAACACAUGCAAGUCGAGCGGCACCCCUCCUCGGAGGGAAGCGAGCGGCGAACGGCUGAGUAACACGUGACCAACCUGCCCUGCGCACGGGGACAGCCGCGGGAAACCGCGGGUGAUACCCGGUGGCCCCCUGGGACCGCAUGGCCCCAGGGGCAUAGCUCCGGCGGCGCGGGAUGGGGUCGCGGCCCAUCAGGUAGUUGGUAGGGUGACGGCCUACCAAGCCGACUACGGGUAGCCGGGUUGAGAGACCGACCGGCCAGAUUGGGACUGAGACACGGCCCAGACUCCUACGGGAGGCAGCAGUGGGGAAUCUUGCGCAAUGGGGGGAACCCUGACGCAGCGACGCCGCGUGCGGGAUGGAGGCCUUCGGGUCGUGAACCGCUUUCAGCAGGGACGAGACUGACGGUACCUGCAGAAGAAGCCCCGGCUAACUACGUGCCAGCAGCCGCGGUAAUACGUAGGGGGCGAGCGUUAUCCGGAUUCAUUGGGCGUAAAGCGCGCGUAGGCGGCCGCGCAGGCGGGGGGUCAAAUCCCGGGGCUCAACCCCGGGCCGCCCCCCGAACCGCGCGGCUUGGGUCCGGCAGGGGAGGGUGGAACGCCCGGUGUAGCGGU
rnacentral:rRNA from 1 species